rnacentral:rRNA from 1 species
UGUAUGAAGUUGGAAUCGCUAGUAAUCNCGGAUCAGCAUGCCGCGGUGAAUACGUUCCCGGGCCCUUGUACACACCGCCCGUCACACCAUGAGAGUCGGGAACACCCGAAGUCCGUAGCCUAACCGCAAGGAGGGCGCGGCCGAAGGUGGGUUCGAUAAUUGGGGUGAAGUCGUAACAAGGUAUC